rnacentral:misc_RNA from 1 species
GCACGAUUACUGGCACGCUUGUAGGUGGAAUCAUGCCAUAAUCUGUGACGAUCAUUGAGAUGUAAUCUGAAGGUGUAGCGUCAUACAUUAAAUUUAGAAGUUGCAGUUGAUCUUUAGCGGUCAGAUUAUCUAGAUAAUUAACAUCCUUCCUUUCUGGAACCUUUGAGAUAGCAUCCGGAUCACCUAAUUCGUUGAAACAUAUUGAGUCAAGCUGUACCCUUUCAUGAAAUUUAUAGGCUUCGCAGCAGAUUAAGACUGGAACAUGGAAUGCAUUUGCAACCAUGGCAACAGCUGCAGUUCCCACUCUUGAAUAUACAGUUCCAUUAGAUAAUACUGCAGCAGCCCCUAGAAAAACUCGAGUUACUUCAUGCAUCACGUAAGAAAUGGCAUUUAUAUG